AGAAGAGAUCUUUCAGAAGAGGGUCUACCUUCAUCUGCAACACCCACAUAAUUCCAGUGAAAAAUCAAGAGGGGGUAGCAAUGAUGUUUAUUAUUAACUUUGAGUACGUAACAGAUGAAGAGAACACUGCAUCUCCUGAGAAGUGCAACCCAAUAUUGCCAUCCAAACUUGUAAAUCGAUGCCAUGAUUUUGUGCAUUUUGAAUAUUUUACUUCCUG